rnacentral:rRNA from 1 species
UGGGGAAUUUUGGACAAUGGGCGAAAGCCUGAUCCAGCAAUGCCGCGUGUGUGAAGAAGGCCUUCGGGUUGUAAAGCACUUUUGUCCGGAAAGAAAUCCUUGGCUCUAAUACAGUCGGGGGAUGACGGUACCGGAAGAAUAAGCACCGGCUAACUACGUGCCAGCAGCCGCGGUAAUACGUAGGGUGCAAGCGUUAAUCGGAAUUACUGGGCGUAAAGCGUGCGCAGGCGGUUUGCUAAGACCGAUGUGAAAUCCCCGGGCUCAACCUGGGAACUGCAUUGGUGACUGGCAGGCUAGAGUAUGGCAGAGGGGGGUAGAAUUCCACGUGUAGCAGUGAAAUGCGUAGAGAUGUGGAGGAAUACCGAUGGCGAAGGCAGCUCCCUGGGCCAAUACUGACGCUCAUGCACGAAAGCGUGGGGAGCAAACAGGAUUAGAUACCCUGGUAGUCCACGCCCUAAACGAUGUCAACUAGUUGUUGGGGAUUCAUUUCCUUAGUAACGUAGCUAACGCGUGAAGUUGACCGCCUGGGGAGUACGGUCGCAAGAUUAAAACUUAAAUGAAUUGACGGGGUCAUAGCUGUUU